UGGGGAAUUUUGGACAAUGGACGAAAGUCUGAUCCAGCCAUGCCGCGUGCGGGAAGAAGGCCUUCGGGUUGUAAACCGCUUUUGUCAGGGAAGAAAUCCUUUGAGCUAAUACCUCGGGGGGAUGACGGUACCUGAAGAAUAAGCACCGGCUAACUACGUGCCAGCAGCCGCGGUAAUACGUAGGGUGCAAGCGUUAAUCGGAAUUACUGGGCGUAAAGCGUGCGCAGGCGGUCUUGCAAGACAGGUGUGAAAUCCCCGGGCUUAACCUGGGAACUGCACUUGUGGCUGCAAGGCUGGAGUACGGCAGAGGGGGAUGGAAUUCCGCGUGUAGCAGUGAAAUGCGUAGAUAUGCGGAGGAACACCGAUGGCGAAGGCAAUCCCCUGGGCCUGUACUGACGCUCAUGCACGAAAGCGUGGGGAGCAAACAGGAUUAGAUACCCUGGUAGUCCACGCCCUAAACGAUGUCAACUGGUUGUUGGACGGCUUGCUGUUCAGUAACGAAGCUAACGCGUGAAGUUGACNGCCUGGGGAGUACGGCCGCAAGGUUG
rnacentral:rRNA from 1 species